rnacentral:antisense_RNA from 1 species
AGAGAGACAUGGGUUUCUUGUCCUCCUCAUCUUCCUCUUCAUCUUCUUCCACCCUGAACAGACACUUCCGCCCACUGGCUGUGGGUUUUAAGCUUGUGGGUGGCACCGUAGAGAGUGCUGGUCCAGCCAACUCAGGGAGGUCAUCUUUCUUAGCUGAGUCACACAGGCCUUUGCUCCUGUGGCCAUUGAGGACACUGUCAGCAGCCCGAGCAGGAGACUGAGGGACAGUCGUGUGGGACAAAGGAGUGGCCGUGAGGUCAUCCUCAAGGUCCUGGGGUACAUCAAUUUUGGUUGGCCAUGACUGCCUAUGUAACAGAUAGAUUGGGGGGAAAAAAGCCAUAUAAUCAUUAUGCAGAUGAUAGUAAAGUACAUCACAUUGAACUUACUGGGACAAAAUCUACAGACUUAAAGAAAAAAGCAGCAGCCUUGCAAACCCAUUCAACAUCCUGUAAACAUCAGCAAGGCCACCAGAAGGGCAAAUGUGGUUUUGAAACAUGGUUCAGUUUGUGGCUUAUUGGCCAAGUGAAAACUUCAUCACAGGUGUCAGAAAAGAAAAUAGGGCAAAGAGCUACUCCAUCUUUUCUAUACAAAAGCUUUAUACUAAACAUUUUUUAGAAGCCCAUGGAGGUUAUUGGCAAAGCAAAACCUAAACACCACGUCUUGUUUCUUUGGUUCUUAGAUCACAUAAAGGUAUAUUACUACAAAUAAAAUUCACCUGAAA